GACGAACGCUGGCGGCGUGCUUAACACAUGCAAGUCGAACGGAAAGGCCCUGCUUUUGUGGGGUGCUCGAGUGGCGAACGGGUGAGCAACACGUGAGUAACCUGCCCUUGACUUUGGGAUAACUUCAGGAAACUGGGGCUAAUACCGGAUAGGAGCUCCUGCUGCAUGGUGGGGGUUGGAAAGUUUCGGCGGUUGGGGAUGGACUCGCGGCUUAUCAGCUUGUUGGUGGGGUAGUGGCUUACCAAGGCUUUGACGGGUAGCCGGCCUGAGAGGGUGACCGGCCACAUUGGGACUGAGAUACGGCCCAGACUCCUACGGGAGGCAGCAGUGGGGAAUAUUGCACAAUGGGCGGAGGCCUGAUGCAGCAACGCCGCGUGCGGGAUGACGGCCUUCGGGUUGUAAACCGCUUUCGCCUGUGACGAAGCGUGAGUGACGGUAAUGGGUAAAGAAGCACCGGCUAACUACGUG
rnacentral:rRNA from 1 species